UCGAUUCCCUUAGUAGCGGCGAGCGAAACGGGAAGAGCCCAAACCAACAAGCUUGCUUGUUGGGGUUGUAGGACACUCUAUACGGAGUUACAAAGGACGACAUUAGACGAAUCAUCUGGAAAGAUGAAUCAAAGAAGGUAAUAAUCCUGUAGUCGAAAAUGUUGUCUCUCUUGAGUGGAUCCUGAGUACGACGGAGCACGUGAAAUUCCGUCGGAAUCUGGGAGGACCAUCUCCUAAGGCUAAAUACUCUCUAGUGACCGAUAGUGAACCAGUACCGUGAGGGAAAGGUGAAAAGCACCCCGGAAGGGGAGUGAAAUAGAACCUGAAACCGUGUGCUUACAAGUAGUCAGAGCCCGUUAAUGGGUGAUGGCGUGCCUUUUGUAGAAUGAACCGGCGAGUUACGAUUUGAUGCAAGGUUAAGCAGUAAAUGUGGAGCCGUAGCGAAAGCGAGUCUGAAUAGGGCGUUUAGUAUUUGGUCGUAGACCCGAAACCAGGUGAUCUACCCUUGGUCAGGUUGAAGUUCAGGUAACACUGAAUGGAGGACCGAACCGACUUACGUUGAAAAGUGAGCGGAUGAACUGAGGGUAGCGGAGAAAUUCCAAUCGAACCUGGAGAUAGCUGGUUCUCUCCGAAAUAGCUUUAGGGCUAGCCUCAAGUGAUGAUUAUUGGAGGUAGAGCACUGUUUGGACGAGGGGCCCCU
rnacentral:rRNA from 1 species